rnacentral:rRNA from 1 species
CCUACGGGGGGCAGCAGUGGGGAAUAUUGGACAAUGGGCGAAAGCCUGAUCCAGCCAUGCCGCGUGUGUGAAGAAGGCCUUCGGGUUGUAAAGCACUUUCAGUGGGGAAGAAAGCCUUGGGGCUAAUACCCUCGAGGAAGGACAUCACCCACAGAAGAAGCACCGGCUAACUCCGUGCCAGCAGCCGCGGUAAUACGGAGGGUGCGAGCGUUAAUCGGAAUUACUGGGCGUAAAGCGCGCGUAGGCGGUCUGAUAAGCCGGUUGUGAAAGCCCCGGGCUCAACCUGGGAACGGCAUCCGGAACUGUCAGGCUAGAGUGCAGGAGAGGAAGGUAGAAUUCCCGGUGUAGCGGUGAAAUGCGUAGAGAUCGGGAGGAAUACCAGUGGCGAAGGCGGCCUUCUGGACUGACACUGACGCUGAGGUGCGAAAGCGUGGGUAGCAAACAGGAUUAGAUACCCCAGUAUC